GGACUACAGGGGUUUCUAAUCCCUUUUGCUCCCCACGCUUUUGUGCCUGAGCGUCAGUAAUUGUCCAGGUAACCGCCUUCGCCUCUGGUGUUCCUCACGAUAUCUACGCAUUUCACUGCUACACCGUGAAUUCCGUUACCCUCUCCAAUACUCUAGCCAUGUAGUUUGAGGUGCAAUUCCGGGGUUGAGCCCCGGGCUUUCACGCCCCACACACCUGGCCGCCUGCGCACCCUUUACGCCCAGUAAAUCCGAAUAACGCUCGCAGUCUCUGUAUUACCGCGGCUGCUGGCAC
rnacentral:rRNA from 2 species